rnacentral:rRNA from 1 species
GAGUUUGAUUCUGGCUCAGGAUGAACGCUGGCGGUAUGCUUUACACAUGCAAGUCUACGAGAGUUUUGAACUCAAGUGGCGGACGGGUGAGUAACACGUAAGAAUUUGCCUUUAGAGGGGGACAACAACUGGAAACGGUUGCUAAUACCCCAUAUGCUUUCGAGUGAAACGGUUUUCCGCCUAAAGAGAAGCUUGCGGCUGAUUAGCUUGUUGGUAAGGUAAUGGCUUACCAGGCGACGAUCAGUAUCUGGUUUGAGAGGACGAUCAGACACACUGGAACUGAGACACGGUCAGACUCCUACGGGAGGCAGCAGUGGGGAAUUUUCCGCAAUGGGCGAAAGCCUGACGGACAAUACCGCGUGAGGGAUGAAUGCCUAUGGGUUGUAAACCUCUUUUUUCAGGGAGGAAUAAUGACGUUACCUGAAGAAUAAGCAUCGGCUAACUCCGUGCCAGCAGCCGCGGUAAU